GAUGAACGCUGGCGGCGUGCCUAAUACAUGCAAGUCGAGCGAACAGACGAGGAGCUUGCUCCUCUGACGUUAGCGGCGGACGGGUGAGUAACACGUGGAUAACCUACCUAUAAGACUGGGAUAACUUCGGGAAACCGGAGCUAAUACCGGAUAAUAUAUUGAACCGCAUGGUUCAAUAGUGAAAGACGGUUUUGCUGUCACUUAUAGAUGGAUCCGCGCCGCAUUAGCUAGUUGGUAAGGUAACGGCUUACCAAGGCGACGAUGCGUAGCCGACCUGAGAGGUGGUUCGGCCACACUGGAACUGAGACACGGUCCAGACCCCUACGGGAGGCAGCAGUGGGGAACUUUCCGCAAUGGGCGAAAGCCUGACGGAGCAACGCGGCGGGAGUGAUGAAGGUCUUCGGUUCGUAAACUCUGUUAUUAGGGAAGAACAAAUGUGUAAGUAACUAUGCACGUCUUGACGGUACCUAAUCAGAAAGCCACGGCUAACUACGUG
rnacentral:rRNA from 1 species